GCAAAGCACAGAUCCUUUGCCUCAGGCUCUCGCAGCUUGUCAGGACACCAGUUACCCGCCGGCAGGGACAUUCCUACAGUCAACUGUCACGAGGCCUGUGCAGCAGAAACCUUUGAAAGAAGGGAUCCUCCCUGCACCCCGGGGACCUCCUGGAGUCCUGGCUUUUCCAGCGCCACUUGGAUAAACAUUUCUCUUCCAUGAUUUGUGCCCAGUUGCGGCGUGUGUCUGGGAAGUGAGCAGGAGUAGAAACAGAUGGAUCUUCCACGAGCUCAAAGGCAAGAAGAUUGACUUCUAUGCAGUAGUCCUCUGGAUAAAGUUUAGUAAACAUAUAAUCACACCAUCAUCUGGGGCUCUGUAUACCCUAAUAAAUGAGUGCUUCUAAUUUUAUAAGCACUGUCAUUA